AAUAAAAAUAAUAAAUUAUCAUAAAUACUAUUACAAUAACAAUUAGUGGAAAGUAAACAAAACAAUAGUAAUUAUUGAAAUGAAAGACUAGUAAGGAGAUGUAUUGUUUUAAAAUAAUAUUACACACUUCUAUUAAUUACUAUUUAGUAACAAUAAUUAGUGAAAAGUAAACAAUUAGAAGCAGUUAAUAAAAGAAGCAAUCAGCAAUUUACUUUAUCAACAUAUAAAUGGAAGAACGUUUUGUUAUCUUGUUGAAAGAGAGGACAGAAUAAGUUUCAACACUUUUCACAAAGGGAAAUGAGAUGAGUUGGUGAAGUUAAAUAAGUGUAGAUGGUAGAUUAGAAUGGAGGUGAAUGGAAGGACUUCUGUUAAAAAAAUAAAUAAAUAAAAAAGGAAAAAUUGCCAAUGAAAUCAUGGCGCCAGAUGGAUGAUUCAUUCAUUCAUCUGAGUUUUUAAGAUAGCAAGAGAAUUAUUCAAAGGAAUAAAUUUACUUCAAAUCGAUACAUUAUUUUACUUACUUAAGCAUAA